ACCCACCACUACAAUUCCUCCUUCAACCACCUCUCCUCCUGGUUCCUCCUCUACUUCUCCCUCUGUAUUGUGGUUGGCCGCUCUAUCUUUCUGUGUUCUGGUUUCUGGUUCUUCUGGUUCUACUGGUGAGACGAUGCCUCCACAGGAAACCUAAAGCCGCUGAAGAAGAAGCUGGGGAUGAUGACAUCACAGACCUACAGCAGCCAAUCAGACGCAGCAAAGAGUGUUUUUCCGUUGCAGUCUACUCAGCAGUGAGAGGAACUGGUGACGUCAGUUAUGAACAAAUAGGCGACUGACCACACAGGACGAGAGCUGCUCUUUCUUUAUGAACUUUGGACAGAGCUAGGCUAGCUGUUUCCCCCUGCUUCCAGUCUUUAUGCUAAGCUAAGCUAAGCACAACCUGACUCCAGAUCAAUCUUUCCAAAACACUGAACUGUUCCUUUAAAGAGAUGUUGAUAAUUGGAAGGUCAGACGUACUAAACAUGAGGAUCUCUAAACCCUUCAUGUAUCUCAUGUAAUGCAGGGGAUUUGUGUUGAAGGGUUAUUUCUUUUGUUUAUCUGCAAGAGUCCAGGAACAGAGUUUAGCGUGUGGAAAAUACGG